rnacentral:rRNA from 1 species
AGAGAGAGACAUGCGCGCAUAUCAAUAAGCGGAGGAAAAGAAACUAACAAGGAUUCCCCUAGUAACGGCGAGUGAAGCGGGAAGAGCUCAAAUUUGAAAUCUUAAAGGGUUUCCCUUUACGAAUUGUAGUUUAAAGAAGUGUUUUCUGUUGAGGUUUUGGUAAAAGUUCUUUGGAAUAGGACAUCAUAGAGGGUGAGAAUCCCGUAUUUGACCUUUACUUUCAACUUUGUGAUACACUUUCAAAGAGUCGGAUUGUUUGGGAAUGCAGUCCAAAAUGGGUGGUAAAUUUCAUCUAAAGCUAAAUAUUGGCGAGAGACCGAUAGCGAACAAGUACCGUGAGGGAAAGAUGAAAAGAACUUUGAAAAGAGAGUUAAACAGUACGUGAAAUUGUCAAAAGGGAAGCGUUUGACACCAGUGUUGUUUUUCUGAAAAUCAAUUAAAGAACUGUUUAUGCUAAGUUGUUUAGACUUUAUCAGCUACUGUUUAGUUUUGAGCUUUUCUUUAAUGCACUUUUCAGUUAACAAGUCAACAUCAAUUUCUUUUGCUGUAAAAAAGCUUGAGGAAGGUGGCUUGAGAUUCGUCUUAAGUGUUUAUAGCCUCUUGCCUAUGCAGUCGGAGAGAUUGAGGUCUGCAGCGUAGAUCCUUCGGGGCUAAAUGCAUUUGUGCUAAGUUAUAACAUUUUAUAGACAACUUGUUGACUAUGAUUUGUCUUGUAGCAUACUCGCUUAUGUUAUUUUACCUACGCUUAGGAUGUUGACGCAUGAGAUAUACGCC